GGAACUGUGCCCGAAUACCAAGGACCACUUUGAUAGAGUGACUUAUAGAGGUUUAAGUCCUCUCAGUUCCU
rnacentral:tRNA from 1 species